GGCUAAGUAACAUAAUGAUAAUGUAGAAGAUUGCAAAUCUUUUUAAAUGGGUUUGAUUCCCAUCUUAGCUU
rnacentral:tRNA from 1 species